UUCAGAGGAAAACCUGGACCGGACUCUUUUAGACACUCAGGAUUUUUCCGUCUUUUCUUUUUUUCCUUUAUCCUUUCUGUAUUGAACUGACAUAUUGUUUGUUCUAAUUGAAUAAGGAUAACACUUAUAAAUUAAAUUAACAGAUUUACAUGUUUUUUUAUUGGUUGUAAAGAAAACAUGGACUGGAUUUUGAAACUUCUCGCAGAAACUUUUAUCUAACUUUGGAUGUUGUUCUGUAUUUCUUCUUAGUUUUUGAGGAAUUUGACCUUUUCUUUUUCAUGUAUUGAACUAAACCCCCUCUGAGUUUGACCUCUCUUAAAUCUGGAUUCCUCCUCUCCGUGUUUUUCGUCGGUUAUUUCUUCAGUCUCGUCCAAACACAUCUGAGCUCACUCCGCCGGUAUCAGCCAAGAAUUUAAAUAGUUAUCCUCGGUGUGUAAUCACAGCCGCAGACUAAACUCUGAUGUUUCAUCUGAAGGUAAACUUGGACCGUGUUCAGCAGGAAAAACUCCCCGCUCAGGAUUUAUGAUGACCUCUGACCCCGCGGCGCUCCGACACACACACUCAUCCAUAAAGAUCCGAUAUCAGCCGACACACACGUCCACAUCCAGCCUGAAAGUGAAUACUGCAGGCCGCUCUCAUCUUUCCUCCAGUCCCAACACGUCAAUCAACACACUGCAAUUAGCUCAACACCCCCACAACACACACAAAGAAACACACACUCACACACACACACACUAACACACACACACACAGCUAAAACAGAGAUGUCACUGGAGGACCUGAGAGUGUUUUCACACCAACAACUGAUGAAAAAACUGGAUCAGAAACACACCUGAACCGAGGACGGAGCGAAAACAACAACAUGAGCUAAAAUUAAAAGACUGUUUGACUAACCGAGGUCUGAACCGUGAAUUAAAGGAGCAGUCAGGAGUUUUUAACGAGGGUCCUAUAUUUACGUUUGUGUGUUAAAAAGUGUGAAAAGUUUAAGAUUUUUUCAGCCUCCAAGUUUAUCGACGUGUUUUAACCGAGCAGCAACCUCCGGCCUGGAGAGAUUACCCCCAAUUUUCACCACAUCCGGAACGGCGGCGAUAUUUGCCGUCCGCCAAUUCCUACCUGAUCCGUUUGUGAGGCCAAUUUCGUGGUGAAUUGCGGACAGCAAGAACCUGCAGAUUCACGUUCAAUCGCACGAUAACGAGUUGUCUCUCUAAAGACAGAAACAUAGACAUAUAAGCAGUAGAUUGUGUCCUUCCAGAGGAGGAAAUCUACUUCUAGACUUCUAGAAUCAGCAUCUCCUCAUCCAUGGUGUCAUCGGGGUGAAAUGACGUCUAAAAACCUUUCACUUGUUCGUCUCGGAGUGUUUUAUUUUGAAAAGAAGCCGGAUGUUUUAUUUUGUGUCUGUGCCCGACUUCCUUUCCAGAAGAAGUCGGUGUAAAUUGACACGUUAACUUGAAUGGUUACGAUCAGCUACGAUCGGAGGAUACGACCUUUUAGGAGACGAUCAGGAUGAAGGUGGAAAUUGGGGGUUAGGCUGUUGCAGUUCCCUUCGUGUCCUCUAGAGGCCGUUACCACUGAAAACCACAUAAACAUGUUGUUCACAGAGCAGUGUCGGUCCGGUUAGUUCAGGACAUCCACCGUAAACUUUAGUUUCCUGUUUGUUUGGAAAAUAUCAGAGUUACAAGGUUAGCCAAUCAGACACGUGGCUGACUUGAUUGACAGGUGAGGAGGCUGAAGGCCCGCCUCUGGUAGGAAAAUUUUUCAUGUUAAAAAAUCUUAGAAAAAAUUAAAGGAGUGACGUAAAUACAGACACACUUUCACAGUGUUUUAAAAAUAUCCCUGUCAUGUUGUUUCAGUGUGUGUGUGUGUGUGUGUGUGUGUGUGUGUGUGUGUGUGUGUGUGUGUGUGUGUGUGUGUGUGUGUGUGUGUGGUACUGACCACAGCCAAUCUGUUAAAAAAGCAAACGCUGCUAAUUCCUCGUCGUUCUCCAUUACCUCAGAUCUGUCCCCGGAGACGAGACACACUGACGGACGGCUGGAGAGUGUGUGAGCGUUUUUAUGAGUGUGUGUGUGUGUCUGUCUGUGUAUGUGUGUGUGUGUGUGAGUGUGUGUGUGUGUGAGUGAGUUAAAGGUGUGUGUGUGUAAAGUGCUGAUGGAUUAUGGGAAACCCUCUGGAUGGUAUCAAACCAAAGACUCAACAACGGCUCAACACCUCGACAGACCAAACAGCACGAGUCCUGGUGUGGGAGCGAGUCCUGGGGCCUCAUGUAUCAACGCUUGCGGCGCAAGAAAACCUUGCGUACGCCAAAAUCGGCGCACACGUCCAGAUUUAUCAUCGCGAAACGAGCGUCGGUUCCAGCGCUAAUCAACGCAAAGUCAGGAGGUGGUGUAGAAAUUGGCGUUGAGCUGGAUAUUUGCGUUGACUGUGAUUCGCACUUUGGCGACGCUGUGUGGCGGUGUUUGGUGACUCACUAUGUGACAAGCGUGCACCACAUCCCCGUGGCCGGGCAGCACGUCGCCCCACAUGACGAACCAGCAGCAGACGGAGGGAUGCGAGCUGAUCCCUGCCGGGCCGCCGUCCUCGCGCGGGAGAAUCUCAUCGCCACAGUGUUAAUGGGUAAGAAGUGAAUACACAGUUCAAUGAGCCAAAUUAAUUUAUUUUCUCCACCAGACGCUCGAGGACAUUUACGAGCCGGUCCAGCCGCUCGUUGAUCCCCGCGAUCCCCCUGAUGAUUUCUUCCUGCGAUUGCAGGACCCCCUCCGCGAGGACCCUUCCACUGCGUCCGGGUGGUCCAGCGGAAGCGCCGCGGCUGGUGGACGCUCCACCGCUUGUCGGCGCGCUGGUGCUGAUGCUGGUGCUGGGGCCGGGGUGGCCCGAAUGCCGCUGGUCCUGGCCGACGACUCCGAGCCGGCGGACGGGCUGCCGCGGGCCGGGGUUCCACAAGCCGGCGACACGGCCGACACAUUGAUUUCUGUGACACAAUAAAAAUAUUAGUUCAUUUCAAUUCCUGCUUCUGUGUAUCUGUUGCGUUUACAUCUCUCUCCACGGUAUCAUAGGUAAUGUAAUCCAGUAUUUCGAGGUCAGUUAUGCACAUUACAGUUGUUUAUUGCAUAAAAAGUUAUCGAAAAAUGAAGUUAAGGGCGAAGUAUAAAUCACGUCUAAAAAUAGACUGAAUCCCGACGUUGAAAUGAAGUAUAAACUUAGACUAGACGUCUAAUAUACGUCUGUGGGAUGGCAAAGCAUGUGGACAUUUGUGUGACACGCCACUUACCCUAUAAUAAUAAUCGCCACCACCCGCUGCUCAAACGGUGUGAGGGUCUCCUCCCCCGGACCCCCACCUGUCUGGCCGGUACUCCUCCGGAGGGCAGCUGUACGCCGCUUGACCUCCACCUUGAGGUCCGACCACUUUUUUUUAAUCUUCGCGGGGGUGCGUGUCUCGGAACCCACCGCAUUCACCCUCUCGCAAACUUUCUCCCACUCCAAGCGUUUUUG